GGUACGGAGUUUCGAGUCCUACGGCGUACAGACGACGCUGGCGGCGUGCUUAACACAUGCAAGUCGAACCGGAAAGGCCCCUCGCUUGCAGGGUACGUCGAGUGGCGAACGGGUGAGUAACACGUGGUGAUCUGCCCUUCACUUCGGGAUAAGCCUGGGAAACUGGGUCUAAUACCGGAUAGGACCAAUCUUUAGUGUGGUUGGUUGGAAAGUUUUUUCGGUGGAGGAUGAGCCCGCGGCCUAUCAGCUUGUUGGUGGGGUAAUGGCCUACCAAGGCGACGACGGGUAGCCGGCCUGAGAGGGUGGACGGCCACAUUGGGACUGAGACACGGCCCAGACUCCUACGGGAGGCAGCAGUGGGGGAAUAUUGCACAAUGGGCGGAAGCCUGAUGCAGCGACGCCGCGUGAGGGAUGACGGCCUUCGGGUUGUAAACCUCUUUCGCUAGGGAAGAAGCCUUCGGGUGACGGUACCUGGAUAAGAAGCACCGGCUAACUACGUG
rnacentral:rRNA from 1 species